rnacentral:rRNA from 1 species
UGCAUGGGUAUCGACUAGCCAUGCGAGUCAAUGUUCUUCGUGAACAUGGCGUACUGCUCAGUAACACGUGGAUAACCUGCCCUUAGGACUGGCAUAACCCCGGGAAACUGGGGAUAAUUCCGGAUAGUUCAUGGUAGCUGGAAUGCUCCAUGAUCGAAAGCUAUUGCGCCUAAGGAUGGGUCUGCGGUCUAUCAGGUAGUAGUGGGUGUAAUGUACCUACUAGCCGACGACGGAUACGGGUUGUGGGAGCAAGAGCCCGGAGAUGGAUUCUGAGACAUGAAUCCAGGCCCUACGGGGCGCAGCAGGCGCGAAAACUUUACAAUGCGGGAAACCGCGAUAAGGGGACACCGAGUGCCAGCAUCUUAUGUUGGCUGUCCGCAUGUAUAAAUCACAUGUGUUAGCAAGGGCCGGGCAAGACCGGUGCCAGCCGCCGCGGUAACACCGGCGGCCCGAGUGGUGGCCACUAUUAUUGGGUCUAAAGGGUCCGUAGCCGGUUUGGUCAGUCUUCCGGGAAAUCUGACGGCUUAACCGUUAGGCUUUCGGGGGAUACUACCAGGCUUGGGACCGGGAGAGGUAAGAGGUACUACGGGGGUAGGAGUGAAAUCUUGUAAUCCUCGUGGGACCACCAGUGGCGAAGGCGUCUUACCAGAACGGGUCCGACGGUGAGGGACGAAAGCUGGGGGCACGAACCGGAUUAGAUACCCGGGUAGUCCCAGCCGUAAACUAUGCUCGCUAGGUGUCAGGGACGGUGCGACCGUUUCUGGUGCCGCAGGGAAGCCGUGAAGCGAGCCACCUGGGAA